AUACGUGUGGUCCGAGCGUUGUCCGGAAUGACUGGGCGUAAAGGGUGCGUAGGUGGGCACAUAAGUCAGGUGUGAAAUCCCCGGGCUCAACCUGGGAAGUGCGCUUGAAACUAUGUGUCUCGAGGCUGUCAGGGGUAAGCGGAAUUCCCGGAGUAGCGGUGAAAUGCGUAGAUAUCGGGAAGAACACCGGUGGCGAAGGCGGCUUACUGGGACAGAACUGACACUGAGGCACGAAGGCGUGGGGAGCAAACAGGAUUAGAUACCCUGGUAGUCCACGCGGUAAACGAUGGAUACUGGAUGUCGGUCAUAUUUACAUGGUCGGUGUCGUAGCUAACGCGCUAAGUAUCCCGCCUGGGGAGUACGGUCGCAAGAUUAAA
rnacentral:rRNA from 1 species